CCCGGUCAGAGCGUUGCGGUGGAACGGACUGUUAAUCCGUUUGCCGUGGGUUCGAGUCCCACCUCCGGAGCCG
rnacentral:tRNA from 1 species